rnacentral:rRNA from 1 species
GUAGGUGGCAAGCGUUGUCCGGAAUUAUUGGGCGUAAAGCGCGCGCAGGUGGUUCUUUAAGUCUGAUGUGAAAGCCCCCGGCUCAACCGGGGAGGGUCAUUGGAAACUGGGGAACUUGAGUGCAGGAGAGGAAAGUGGGAUUCCACGUGUAGCGGUGAAAUGCGUAGAUAUGUGGAGGAACACCAGUGGCGAAGGCGACUUUCUGGCCUGUAACUGACACUGAGGCGCGAAAGCGUGGGGAGCAAACAGGGAUUAGAUACCCUGGUAGUCCACGCCGUAAACGAUGAGUGCUAAGUGUUGGGGGGGUUUCCGCCCCCUCAGUGCUGCAGCUAACGCAUUAAGCACUCCGCCUGGGAGUACGGUCGCAAGACUG